UACUGAUGUCGACAAUAGUGAUAGUUUCUUAGUAUUUCCAUAAAGUAAUAAAACACUAUUUCCAACAGUUGUAAUAGUCAAUGGGUGAUGUUAUUUUGAUGCAUUCUAUACUAUCUUUUAUUUUUACCGAUGCGCCACAAGUGAUCAUGAGAAUUAUUAUGAUGACAUAAUAAUCUGAUAUUGACAAUGGUACUGAUGUCGACAAUAGUGAUAGUUUCUUAGUAUUUCCAUAAAGUAAUAAAACGUUAUUUCCAACAGUUGUUUGUAAUAUAGUCAAUGGGUGAUGUUAUUUUGAUGAAUUAUUAUGAAGAAGAAUUAUUAUGAUGAUAUAAUAAUCUGAUAUUGACAAUGGUACUGAUGUCGACAAUAGUGAUAGUUUCUUAGUAUUUCCACAAAGAAAUAAAACGUUAUUUCCAACAGUUGUUUGUAAUAUAGUCAAUGGAUGAUGUUAUUUUGAUGCAUUCUAUACUAUCUUUUAUUUUUACUGACGCGCCACAAGUGAUCUUGAGAAUUAUUAUGAUGAUAUAAUAAUCUGAUAUUGACAAUGGUACUGAUGUCGACAAUAGUGAUAGUUUCUUAGCAUUUCCAUAAAGUAAUAAAAUGUUAUUUCCAACAGUUGUUUGUAAUAUAGUCCAUGGGUGAUUUUAUUUUGAUGCAUUCUAUACUAUCUGUUAUUUUUACUGACGCGCCGCAGGUUAUCAUGCGAAUUAUUAGAAUUAUUAUGAUGAUAUAAUAAUCUGAUAUCGACAAUGGUACUGAUGUUGACAAUAGUGAUAAUUUCUUAGUAUUUCUAUAAAGUAAUAAAGCGUCAUUGUUUGCUGCAAUUGCAUUCUUUCCCCUUGCCAAUAUUUGUGCGGGAAUGGACAAUGCUUCUUGGCACAAUAUAAAAUGGUAUUUAGAAAAGGCAGCUAGUAUAAUAUUACGAUAUAAUAAUAUUCUUAAAAUUUAUGACUUCUUGUCGAUGCUUGCCUUCCCAUGGAUUACAAGGAUAGAACUUGUUUUGCCAACAUAUUCAUUACCAAGUACCUUUACUUUUUACCAUUGUGAUUUCACCAUUGUGAUUUCACCAUUUCAAACUUUAUUUGUAAAGGCUGUAACUGCAUUUCAUUCCUAGCUAAUAUUUCAUCUAGAAUGGACAAUGCUUCUUUGCCCAAUAAUACAGGAUGGUAUUGAGAAAAGUCAGCUAAAAAAUUUACUAUAUUAUUUUGAUGCAUUCAGUUUCCUAUACUGUCAAUAUUACGAUCAACGUAUUGUAUGUGAUCAGAAAUACUGCAAUUGUUAUUAAUGCACUGUAUGUGAUAAAACACAUUGCAAUUUUUUAAAGUUUUUCUUCUACUUCCCAGCUUUUUGUACAAAUAUAUUAAUGGAAAUCAUACUUCCAAAAAUUAAUUAAAACAUUAAUUUCUUCAACGUAAUAUAGUAAUUGACUGAUAUUAUUUUAAUCAGUCAUAUUGCAGUACUGUAUAUCAUAAUGCUGCAAAGUAUGUGUGCAACAAUGCAGUGGUAUAUGCCAAGCUGCAAUGAUAAUCAAUUGAAAUUUGUUAUAUGCAGUACAUGAAUAUCAAAUAUUAUGUCAAUGUAAAACAGAUGAAAUAAUAAAUAAUUAUAAUUAUCAUACUUAAUUAUUGUUUUUUAUAAUCAUAAUGGUAAUUAAAUAGAAUUAAAUAUUAUUGUGAUGAUAUAAUAUGAUACUGUAUUAACAAUGGUACUGAUGUUGAGAAUAGUGAUAUUUUUUCAGUAUUUCCAUAAAAUAAUAAAAGAUUUCCAACAGUUGUAAUAUAGUCAAUGGAUGAUAUUAUUUUGAUGCAUUCUAUACUAUCUUUUAUCGUUACUGAGGCACCAUAUGUGAUCAGGCACAUUGCAGUUUUUCUUAGUUCUUGCAUUUUACCAAUUUUACUGGUAAAAAUUUCCUUUAUAUCUUUUAUUGUGGUGGACACGCCAUAGGUGAUCAUAAUGCAUGUAUGCAACAAUGCAGUGGUACAGUAUGUGUCCAAGCUGCAGUUGACAAUAGUGAUAGUUUCUUAGCAUUUCCAUAAAGUAAUAAAACACUAUUUCCAACAGUUGUAAUAGUCAAUGGGUGAUGUUAUUUUGAUGCAUUCUAUACUAUCUGUUAUUUUUACUGACGCGCCGCAGGUGAUCAU